UGGAGAGCGUUUAAGGAGCAGCAUAAAUUGAGAACAGACAAGGAUGUGGCGGAUAUGCUUCUUGACAGCUAUCUUGCGAUGAAUCGUAUAGUUUGUUAAAACCUCAACGCCAAGCGCGCACUCAAAUCCGCGUCCAUUGUCUGCUUUGUCGGAUGUUAGAACAUCAUAUUCUAUCAGGUCGGGUCAGAGUGUGAUUUCUGACAGUCGAACAUUGACAGCCAAAGAUGAUAGUUCUGAUGAUGAAAGUGAUGAUGAUAAUGACAAUUUUGGUGAACACACUAUCCAGGCAGACCAGGUUUUGUCGGACGAUUCUCUUGAUGUAUGUCCCCCGGGUUUUGACGUGCCAUUACUGGAUGACUUGCUCAAUGUGACAAUCCGUGGACAUGAUGGAGAUGAGCCCACAGAAGAUGUUGGAACCCAACAACAACAACAGCAGCAACAUAAGACGACUCAACCAGAAUACAUCUCUACUGUGGAAGAAGUCAGUCCUGAAGAUGCAAUCAGAAGGAAAAGUGUAUUGUGUUUACAGACACUCUUAUAACUUUGAUAACAUCAUUACAUGGGAGUGUUUGUAAACGACAAGGAUGUGGCCGUGUGUUGAGCUAUAAGAAAACAUAUGUUGGAACAUGCCUGGUCGUAUC